rnacentral:rRNA from 1 species
UACCGUGGCAAUGACGGGUAACGGAGAAUUAGGGUUCGAUUCCGGAGAGGGAGCCUGAGAAACGGCUACCACAUCUAAGGAUGGCAGCAGGCGCGCAAAUUACCCAAUCCUGACUCAGGGAGGUAGUGACAAGAAAUAACUCUAUAGGGCCUACGGUCUUGUAAGUGGAAUGAGUAAAUUUUAAAUCCCUUUGCGAGUAUCAAUUGGAGGGCAAGUCUGGUGCCAGCAGCCGCGGUAAUUCCAGCUCCAAUAGCGUAUAUUAAAGUUGUUGCGGUUAAAAAGCUCGUAGUUGGAUUUCUGCUGAGGGUAGCUAUAUGAGGUACUUUCGGGUACAAUUCAGGUGGCUUCUCGACGCACAUUUCAGCGAACGUUAGGGUGUCAUCCGUGAUUCCCAUAAUUUUGCUGAAACUAUUACUUUGAGGAAAUUAGAGUGUUUCAAGCAGACGAUUGUCUUGAAUACAUUAGCAUGGAAUAAUAAUAUAGGACUAAUGUUCUAUUUUGUUGGUUUCUGGAACUUUAGUAAUGAUUAAUAGGGACAGUCGGGGGCAUUCGUACUUAACAGUUAGAGGUGAAAUUCUUGGAUUUGUUAAAGACGAACUACUGCGAAAGCAUUUGCCAAGGAUGUUUUCAUUGAUCAAGAACGAAAGUUAGGGGAUCGAAGACGAUCAGAUACCGUCCUAGUCCUAACCAUAAACUAUGCCGACUAGAGAUUGGAUGGAAGUUAUGUCCAUUCAGCAUCUCGUGAGAAAUCAAAGUCUUUGGGUUCCGGGGGGAGUAUGGUCGCAAGGCUGAAACUUAAAGGAAUUGACGGAUUGGCACCACCAGGAGUGGAGCCUGCGGCUUAAUUUGACCCAACACGGGAAAACUCACCAGGUCCAGACAUGGGUAUGAUUGACAGAUUGAAAGCUCUUUCUUAAUUCCAUGGGUGGUGGUGCAUGGCCGUUCUUAGUUGGUGGAGUGAUUUGUCUGGUCAAUUCCGUUAACGAACGAGACCUUAACCUGCUAAAUAGUGAUGUGUAGUCCGCUACAUAAUCGCUUCUUAGAGGGACUUCGUGUUUUCAAGCACGAGGAGGUUUGAGGCAAUAACAGGUCUGUGAUGCCCUUAGAUGUCCUGGGCUGCACGCGCGCUACACUGACAUGUUCAGCGAGCUUGUUCUUUCCCGGAAGGGAUGGGUAAACUUGUGAAAACAUGUCGUGAUGGGGAUAGAUCAUUGUAAUUAUUGAUCUUCAACGAGGAAUUCCUAGUAAGUGCAAGUCAUCAGCUUGCGCUGAUUACGUCCCUGCCAAUUGUACACACCGCCCGUCGCUCCUACCGAUUGGGUGAUCCGGUGAAUUAUUCGGACUGCGAAUUGUAGUAAUACAAUUUGUAGGAAGUUUUGUGAACCUUAUCACCUAGAGGAAGGAGAAGUCGUAACAAGGUU